AUUGAACGCUGGCGGCAGGCCUAACACAUGCAAGUCGAACGGUAACAGGAAGAAGCUUGCUUCUUUGCUGACGAGUGGCGGACGGGUGAGUAAUGUCUGGGAAACUGCCUGAUGGAGGGGGAUAACUACCGGAAACGGUAGCUAAUACCGCAUAACGUCGCAAGACCAAAGAGGGGGACCUUCGGGCCUCUUGCCAUCGGAUGUGCCCAGAUGGGAUUAGCUAGUAGGUGGGGUAACGGCUCACCUAGGCGACGAUCCCUAGCUGGUCUGAGAGGAUGACCAGCCACACUGGAACUGAGACACGGUCCAGACUCCUACGGGAGGCAGCAGUGGGGAAUAUUGCACAAUGGGCGCAAGCCUGAUGCAGCCAUGCCGCGUGUAUGAAGAAGGCCUUCGGGUUGUAAAGUACUUUCAGCGGGGAGGAAGGGAGUAAAGUUAAUACCUUUACUCAUUGACGUUACCCGCAGAAGAAGCACCGGCUAACUCCGUG
rnacentral:rRNA from 1 species